GUGGGGACACGGAGCUGGUGGGAUCGCACCAUGGCCUGGGCCCCUCUGCUCCUCGCGCUGCUCGCCCAUGGCUCAGGUUCCCUGGUCCAGGCAGCGCUGACUCAGCCCUCAUCAGUGUCAGCAGCGAUAGGAGAGAAGGUCCAGAUCACCUGCUCUGGUAGCAGCUACAGCUAUGGCUGGUACCAGCAGAAGGUACCUGGCAGUGCCCCUGUCACUGUGAUCUACGGUAGCACCAAUAGACCCUCGGACAUCCCUUCACGAUUCUCCGGAUCCAGUUCCGGCUCCACAGCCACGUUAACCAUCGAUGGGGUCCAAGCCGUGGACGAGGCCGUCUAUUACUGUGGUGGCUAUGACAGCAGCACUAAUCCUGACACGGUGACAUGA